rnacentral:rRNA from 1 species
GACGAACGCUGGCGGCGUGCUUAACACAUGCAAGUCGAACGGAAAGGCCCUGCUUUUGUGGGGUGCUCGAGUGGCGAACGGGAGAGUAACACGUGGGUAACCUGCCCUUGACUUUGGGAUAACUUCAGGAAACUGGGGCUAAUACCGGAUAGGAGCUCCUGCUGCAUGGUGGGGGUUGGAAAGUUUCGGCGGUUGGGGCUGGUUGCGCGGCUUAUCAGCUUGUUGGUGGGGUAGUGGAUUACGUAGGCUUUGACGGGUAGCCGGCCUGGGAGGGUGACCGGCCCCAUUGGGACUGAGAUACGGCCCAGACUCCUACGGGAGGCAGCAGUGGGGAAUAUUGCGCAAUGGGCGGGAGCCUGAUGCAGCAACGCCGCGUGCGGGAUGACGGCCUUCGGGUUGUAAACCGCUUUCGCCUGUGACGAAGCGUGAGUGGCGGUAAUGGGUAAAGAAGCACCGGCUAACUACGUG